GCCCCGAGUAGCUCAGUCGGUAGAGUAUUGGACUCUUAAUCCAAGGGUCGUCGGUUCGAGUCCGGUCUCGGGCG